AAUUUUGAAGCGAGCUCGGAACUGAAACUAAAAUUAAAUUCCGUUAAAUAAGGAGGCGUGGAAUCCAAGCCCUUCUUUUCUUUCCUCCACUGCCUUCCCAGCGUAUAAAAGGGUCCCCACCGGAGAUUAAACAAGAAAUCCUUGCACACGCAGAGAGAGAGAGAGAGAAAGGGAAGAACGUGGUCGAGAUCCGGCGAGCUGCGUCGGGUUUCGCCCAUUCUGUAUUCAGAUCCCCCCAGCCAUAUUGCUUCUAGGAACCCUUCUUUCCCGAGGAAAAACAAAACAUGAAGGGGUCGUGUACUCUCGUGGCGUCGAUGCUCGCCGCUUCCACCGUUGCCCUUCGCUCUUCUUCUUCUUCUGGAGAUCCUGACCACCCUACCUUUGUUUAUCCUUGCUCCAACGAGGGGCUGUCUUCUUCUUCAUCUUCGUUUUCGGGGAAAAACUGUGCACCAAAUUCGCAUCUUUCGUCAAAUAAGGAGCAAUUCGCCCCGAGAUUCGACGGCCUAAGAUUCAUCGAGACCUUGGUCACUGCCCACAGAUGAGAUGGCCUUUUAAGCCGUGCCUUUUCUUUCUGCAUAUGGAUUUACUAUUCCCAUUGGCUUCGUGAUAUGUAAUUGGAAAAUAACCAAGUUCUUUCUCGGCUCGUUUUCUUUUCUUGCUGGGUAGGGAGGGGUUGGGUAAUUGACAGCUUAAUAUGCUUACUUCAACCCCAAAAAUGUUGUUCUGGUCCCAAUUUUUGUAAAUCUCUUUGAUUUGUAAUUUAAUUGACAUUUGAACCUUAUAUUAAAUUUAUUAUAUGACCAUUAUCUGUACUUGAAGGCAAUGAUUUAUUUUCCC